rnacentral:rRNA from 1 species
UGGGGAAUUUUGGACAAUGGGCGCAAGCCUGAUCCAGCCAUUCCGCGUGCAGGACGAAGGCCUUCGGGUUGUAAACUGCUUUUGUACGGAACGAAAAGGCUCUGGCUAAUACCUGGGGCUCAUGACGGUACCGUAAGAAUAAGCACCGGCUAACUACGUGCCAGCAGCCGCGGUAAUACGUAGGGUGCAAGCGUUAAUCGGAAUUACUGGGCGUAAAGCGUGCGCAGGCGGUUAUGUAAGACAGAGGUGAAAUCCCCGGGCUCAACCUGGGAACUGCCUUUGUGACUGCAUAGCUGGAGUACGGCAGAGNGGGAUGGAAUUCCGCGUGUAGCAGUGAAAUGCGUAGAUAUGCGGAGGAACACCGAUGGCGAAGGCAAUCCCCUGGGCCUGUACUGACGCUCAUGCACGAAAGCGUGGGGAGCAAACA